CCUACGGGUGGCUGCAGUGGGGAAUAUUGGACAAUGGGGGGAACCCUGAUCCAGCCAUGCCGCGUGUGUGAAGAAGGCCCUCGGGUUGUAAAGCACUUUCAGUGAGGAAGAACGCCUGGUGGUUAAUACCCAUCAGGAAAGACAUCACUCACAGAAGAAGCACCGGCUAACUCCGUGCCAGCAGCCGCGGUAAUACGGAGGGUGCGAACGUUAAUCGGAAUUACUGGGCGUAAAGCGCGCGUAGGUGGCUUGAUAAGCCGGUUGUGAAAGCCCCGGGCUCAACCUGGGAACGGCAUCCGGAACUGUCAAGCUAGAGUGCAGGAGAGGAAGGUAGAAUUCCCGGUGUAGCGGUGAAAUGCGUAGAGAUCGGGAGGAAUACCAGUGGCGAAGGCGGCCUUCUGGACUGACACUGACACUGAGGUGCGAAAGCGUGGGUAGCAAACAGGAUUAGAUACCCUUGUAGUC
rnacentral:rRNA from 1 species